rnacentral:rRNA from 1 species
GACGAACGCUGGCGGCGUGCUUAACACAUGCAAGUCGAACGGAAAGGCCCUGCUUUUGUGGGGUGCUCGAGUGGCGAACGGGUGAGUAACACGUGAGUAACCUGCCCUUGACUUUGGGAUAACUUCAGGAAACUGGGGCUAAUACCGGAUAGGAGCUCCUGCUGCAUGGUGGGGGUUGGAAAGUCUCGGCGGUUGGGGAUGGGCUCGCGGCUUAUCAGCUUGUUGGUGGGGUAGUGGCUUACCAAGGCUUUGACGGGUAGCCGGCCUGAGAGGGUGACCGGCCACAUUGGGACUGAGAUACGGCCCAGACUCCUACGGGAGGCAGCAGUGGGGAAUAUUGCACAAUGGGCGGAAGCCUGAUGCAGCAACGCCGCGUGCGGGAUGACGGCCUUCGGGUUGUAAACCGCUUUCGCCUGUGACGAAGCGUGAGUGACGGUAAUGGGUAAAGAAGCACCGGCUAACUACGUG